rnacentral:rRNA from 1 species
UACGGAGGAUGCGAGCGUUAUCCGGAUAUAUUGGGUUUAAAGGGUGCGCAGGCGGUCUGUUAAGUCAGCGGUCAAAGCCCGGGGCUCAACCCCGGCCCGCCGUUGAAACUGCCAUGCUGGAGUGCCGGAGAGGUAAGCGGAAUUCCUAGUGUAGCGGUGAAAUGCGUAGAUAUUAGGAGGAACACCAGUGGCGAAGGCGGCUUGCUGGACGAUGACUGACGCUGAGGCACGAAAGCGUGGGUAUCGAACAGG